rnacentral:rRNA from 1 species
CAGAGGUUUGAUCCUGACUUUUCCAUCUGCUGUAGACAUAUUUAUACAUGCAAGUAUC